AUUGAACGCUGGCGGCAGGCCUAAGACAUGCAAGUCGAGCGAGAAAGCCCUUCGGGGUGAGUACAGCGGCGGACGGGUGAGUAACGCGUAGGAAUCUACCCAGUAGUGGGGGACAACUAGUGGAAACGCUAGCUAAUACCGCAUACGCCCUAAGGGGGAAAGCGGGGGAUCUUCGGACCUCGUGCUAUUGGAUGAGCCUGCGUAAGAUUAGCUUGUUGGUGAGGUAAUGGCUCACCAAGGCUACGAUCUUUAGCUGGUCUGAGAGGAUGAUCAGCCACACCGGGACUGAGACACGGCCCGGACUCCUACGGGAGGCAGCAGUCGGGAAUAUUGCGCAAUGGGGGAAACCCUGACGCAGCCAUGCCGCGUGUGUGAAGAAGGCCCUAGGGUUGUAAAGCACUUUCAAUUGGGAGGAAAAGCUAAUGGUUAAUAGCCAUUAGCCCUGACGUUACCUUUAGAAGAAGCACCGGCUAACUCCGUGCCAGCAGCCGCGGUAAUACGGAGGGUGCAAGCGUUAAUCGGAAUUACUGGGCGUAAAGCGCGCGUAGGCGGCUCUUUAAGUCGGAUGUGAAAGCCCCGGGCUCAACCUGGGAACUGCAUCCGAUACUGGAGGGCCAGAGUGUAGGAGAGGGAGGUAGAAUUCCAUGUGUAGCAGUGAAAUGCGUAGAUAUAUGGAGGAAUACCAGUGGCGAAGGCGGCCUCCUGGCUUAACACUGACGCUGAGGUGCGAAAGCGUGGGGAGCAAACGGGAUUAGAUACCCCGGUAGUCCACGCCGUAAACGAUGUCUACUAGCUGUAGGGGUACUUGAGACCUUUGUAGCGCAGCUAACGCACUAAGUAGACCGCCUGGGGAGUACGGCCGCAAGGUUAAAACUCAAAUGAAUUGACGGGGGCCCGCACAAGCAGUGGAGCAUGUGGUUUAAUUCGAUGCAACGCGAAGAACCUUACCAGGCCUUGACAUCCCCGGAACUUUCUAGAGAUAGAUUGGUGCCUUCGGGAACCGGGUGACAGGUGCUGCAUGGCUGUCGUCAGCUCGUGUCGUGAGAUGUUGGGUUAAGUCCCGUAACGAGCGCAACCCUUGUCCUUAGUUGCCAGCACAUAAUGGUGGGAACUCUAAGGAGACUGCCGGUGACAAACCGGAGGAAGGUGGGGACGACGUCAAGUCAUCAUGGCCCUUACGGCCUGGGCUACACACGUGCUACAAUGGCUAGGACAGACGGCUGCAAACCAGCGAUGGGGAGCUAAUCCGACAAACCUAGUCGUAGUCCGGAUUGGAGUCUGCAACUCGACUCCAUGAAGUCGGAAUUGCUAGUAAUCGCGAAUCAGAAUGUCGCGGUGAAUACGUUCCCGGGCCU
rnacentral:rRNA from 1 species